rnacentral:rRNA from 1 species
UACGUAGGGUGCUAGCGUUGUUCGGAAUCAUUGGGCGUAAAGCGCGUGCAGGCUGUUAAUUAAGUCGGUCGUGAAAGCCCACGGCUCAACCGUGGAAGUGCAACCGAAACUGGCAAGCUUGAGUGCUGAAGAGGAUGGCGGAAUUCCCAGUGUAGAGGUGAAAUUCGUAGAUAUUGGGAGGAACAUCGGUGGCGAAGGCGGCCAUCUGGGAAGCAACUGACGCUGAGACGCGAAAGCGUGGGUAGCAAACAGG